rnacentral:rRNA from 1 species
GACGAACGCUGGCGGCGUGCCUAAUACAUGCAAGUCGAGCGAAUCAAUAGGAGCUUGCUCCUGUUGGUUAGCGGCGGACGGGUGAGUAACACGUGGGCAACCUGCCUGUAAGACUGGGAUAACAUCGGGAAACCGAUGCUAAUACCGGAUAAUCCUUUCUCUCUCAUGAGGGGAAGUUGAAAGUCGGUUUCGGCUGACACUUACAGAUGGGCCCGCGGCGCAUUAGCUAGUUGGUGAGGUAACGGCUCACCAAGGCGACGAUGCGUAGCCGACCUGAGAGGGUGAUCGGCCACACUGGGACUGAGACACGGCCCAGACUCCUACGGGAGGCAGCAGUAGGGAAUCUUCCACAAUGGACGAAAGUCUGAUGGAGCAACGCCGCGUGAGCGAUGAAGGCCUUCGGGUCGUAAAGCUCUGUUGUUAGGGAAGAACAAGUACCGGAGUAACUGCCGGUACCUUGACGGUACCUAACCAGAAAGCCACGGCUAACUACGUGCCAGCCGCCGCCGUAAUAC